rnacentral:rRNA from 1 species
UACGUAGGCAGCAAGCGUUGUUCGGAGUUACUGGGCGUAAAGGGUGUGUAGGCGGUUCCUUAAGCUUGCUGUGAAAUCUCCCGGCUUAACCGGGAGGGUGCGGUGAAUACUGAGGGACUAGAGUACGGGAGAGGAAAGAGGAAUUCCUGGUGUAGCGGUGAAAUGCGUAGAUAUCAGGAGGAACAACGGUGGUGUAGACGGCUUUCUGGACCGUAACUGACGCUGAGACACGAAAGCGUGGGUAGCAAACAGG